GGACGAACCUCUGGUGUUCGGGUUGUGUCGCCAGACGCAUUGCCCGGUAGCUAAGUUCGGAAUCGAUAACCGCUGAAAGCAUCUAAGCGGGAAGCGAGCCCUGAGAUGAGUCUUCCCUGAUACUUUAAGUAUCCUAAAGGGUUGUCGGAGACUACGACGUUGAUAGGUCAGGUGUGUAAGUGCUGUGAGGCAUUGAGCUAACUGAUACUAAUUGCCCGUGAGGCUUAACCAUACAACACCCAAGGGGUUU
rnacentral:rRNA from 1 species